rnacentral:rRNA from 1 species
CGGCGAUGUCCGAAUGGGGAAACCCAGUGCAAUUCGUUGCACUAUCGUUAACUGAAUACAUAGGUUAACGAGGCGAACCGGGGGAACUGAAACAUCUAAGUACCCCGAGGAAAAGAAAUCAACCGAGAUUCCCCCAGUAGCGGCGAGCGAACGGGGAGCAGCCCGGAGUCUGAAUCAGCUUGUGUGUUAGUGGAAGCGUCUGGAAAGUCGCAGGGUACAGGGUGAUACUCCCGUACACUAAAACACACAGGCUGUGAACUCGAAGAGUAGGGCGGGACACGUGGUAUCCUGUCUGAAUAUGGGGGGACCAUCCUCCAAGGCUAAAUACUCCUGACUGACCGAUAGUGAACCAGUACCGUGAGGGAAAGGCGAAAAGAACCCCGGCGAGGGGAGUGAAAAAGAACCUGAAACCGUGUACGUACAAGCAGUAGGAGCCCACUAGUUGGGUGACUGCGUACCUUUUGUAUAAUGGGUCAGCGACUUAUAUUCUGUAGCAAGGUUAACCGAAUAGGGGAGCCGCAGGGAAACCGAGUCUUAACUGGGCGUUAAGUUGCAGGGUAUAGACCCGAAACCCGGUGAUCUAGCCAUGGGCAGGUUGAAGGUUGGGUAACACUAACUGGAGGACCGAACCGACUAAUGUUGAAAAAUUAGCGGAUGACUUGUGGCUGGGGGUGAAAGGCCAAUCAAACCGGGAGAUAGCUGGUUCUCCCCGAAAGCUAUUUAGGUAGCGCCUCGUGAACUCAUCUUCGGGGGUAGAGCACUGUUUCGGCUAGGGGGUCAUCCCGACUUACCAACCCGAUGCAAACUACGAAUACCGAAGAAUGUUAUCACGGGAGACACACGGCGGGUGCUAACGUCCGUCGUGAAGAGGGAAACAACCCAGACCGCCAGCUAAGGUCCCAAAGUCAUGGUUAAGUGGGAAACGAUGUGGGAAGGCCCAGACAGCCAGGAUGUUGGCUUAGAAGCAGCCAUCAUUUAAAGAAAGCGUAAUAGCUCACUGGUCGAGUCGGCCUGCGCGGAAGAUGUAACGGGGCUAAACCAUGCACCGAAGCUGCGGCAGCGACGCUUAUGCGUUGUUGGGUAGGGGAGCGUUCUGUAAGCCGUUGAAGGUGGCCUGUGAGGGUUGCUGGAGGUAUCAGAAGUGCGAAUGCUGACAUAAGUAACGAUAAUGCGGGUGAAAAACCCGCACGCCGGAAGACCAAGGGUUCCUGUCCAACGUUAAUCGGGGCAGGGUGAGUCGACCCCUAAGGCGAGGCCGAAAGGCGUAGUCGAUGGGAAACAGGUUAAUAUUCCUGUACUUGGUGUUACUGCGAAGGGGGGACGGAGAAGGCUAUGUUGGCCGGGCGACGGUUGUCCCGGUUUAAGCAUGUAGGCGGAUGUUCCAGGUAAAUCCGGAACGUUAUUAACGCUGAGGUGUGAUGACGAGGCACUACGGUGCUGAAGUGACAAAUGCCCUGCUUCCAGGAAAAGCCUCUAAGCAUCAGGUAACAUCAAAUCGUACCCCAAACCGACACAGGUGGUCAGGUAGAGAAUACCAAGGCGCUUGAGAGAACUCGGGUGAAGGAACUAGGCAAAAUGGUGCCGUAACUUCGGGAGAAGGCACGCUGAUGGUAAGUGAAGUGACUUGCUCAUGGAGCUGAAAUCAGUCGAAGAUACCAGCUGGCUGCAACUGUUUAUUAAAAACACAGCACUGUGCAAACACGAAAGUGGACGUAUACGGUGUGACGCCUGCCCGGUGCCGGAAGGUUAAUUGAUGGGGUUAUCCUCGCGGAGAAGCUCUUGAUCGAAGCCCCGGUAAACGGCGGCCGUAACUAUAACGGUCCUAAGGUAGCGAAAUUCCUUGUCGGGUAAGUUCCGACCUGCACGAAUGGCGUAAUGAUGGCCAGGCUGUCUCCACCCGAGACUCAGUGAAAUUGAACUCGCUGUGAAGAUGCAGUGUACCCGCGGCAAGACGGAAAGACCCCGUGAACCUUUACUAUAGCUUGACACUGAACACUGGUCCUUGAUGUGUAGGAUAGGUGGGAGGCUUUGAAGUGUGGACGCCAGUCUGCAUGGAGCCGUCCUUGAAAUACCACCCUUUAAUGGCUGGUGUUCUAACGUGGGCCCGUGAUCCGGGUUGCGGACAGUGUCUGGUGGGUAGUUUGACUGGGGCGGUCUCCUCCUAAAGAGUAACGGAGGAGCACGAAGGUCAGCUAAUCCUGGUCGGACAUCAGGAGGUUAGUGCAAUGGCAUAAGCUGGCUUGACUGCGAGCGUGACGGCGCGAGCAGGUGCGAAAGCAGGUCAUAGUGAUCCGGUGGUUCUGAAUGGAAGGGCCAUCGCUCAACGGAUAAAAGGUACUCCGGGGAUAACAGGCUGAUACCGCCCAAGAGUUCAUAUCGACGGCGGUGUUUGGCACCUCGAUGUCGGCUCAUCACAUCCUGGGGCUGAAGUAGGUCCCAAGGGUAUGGCUGUUCGCCAUUUAAAGUGGUACGCGAGCUGGGUUUAGAACGUCGUGAGACAGUUCGGUCCCUAUCUGCCGUGGGCGCUGGAGAAUUGAGGGGGGCUGCUCCUAGUACGAGAGGACCGGAGUGGACGCAUCACUGGUGUUCGGGUUGUCAUGCCAAUGGCAUUGCCCGGUAGCUAAAUGCGGAAGAGAUAAGUGCUGAAAGCAUCUAAGCACGAAACUUGCCCCGAGAUGAGUUCUCCCUGACUCCUUGA